rnacentral:misc_RNA from 1 species
ACACCUCAACUCUCCCAUGGUUUGUCAUGAAGAGCUUGGACUUUGGAGGUUUUGCUGGCCUGAGGUCAGCUCCUCUCAAAUGAAUCAGCCUCCCAGUGUUUGGUGGCGUCAUGGGUGUGAUAAAUAUCUACGCUUGUGGUCGUCUGCCAGGUAACCUUCAGUGAUGGAGGUUCACUGGGGCUUAUAAAUGUCCUCCCUCAGGGAAGACAGCUUUUUGAAC